GACGUAGGGCGCGAGCGUUGUCCGGAUUUAUUGGGCGUAAAGAGCUCGUAGGCGGCUUGUCGCGUCGUCCGUGAAAACCUGCAGCUCAACUGCAGGCUUGCGGUCGAUACGGGCAGGCUGGAGUUCGGUAGGGGAGACUGGAAUUCCUGGUGUAGCGGUGAAAUGCGUAGAUAUCGAGAGGAACACCAGUGGCGAAGGCGGCUAUCUGGACGGUUUCUGACGCUAAGACGCGAAAGCGUGGGGAGCAAACAGG
rnacentral:rRNA from 1 species